UACGUAGGGGGCUAGCGUUGUCCGGAAUCAUUGGGCGUAAAGAGCGUGUAGGCGGUCCGGUAAGUCCGCUGUGAAAGUCGGGGGCUCAACCCUCGAAUGCCGGUGGAUACUGUCGGGCUAGAGUGCGGAAGAGGCGAGUGGAAUUCCUGGUGUAGCGGUGAAAUGCGCAGAUAUCAGGAGGAACACCAACGGCGAAGGCAGCACUCUGGGCAACAACUGACGCUGAGGAGCGAAAGCGUGGGGAGCGAACAGG
rnacentral:rRNA from 1 species